rnacentral:rRNA from 1 species
AUGCAUAUCUCUGUCAGGGAAGAUGGAAGCAGAACUCUCAGGACUAUACGGUCACGACCUAGAUGUUUCCUUCAAAAUCUAUCAUCUUCAGUUGGUCAUGUGAAGAACAACGAUUGGUCACAUGGUAGUAAUCCAUUAGCCUAUUGGCACCAGACAACAACUGACACUUGUCAAACUAAGCUUAAUCACUUGCUGCUACAUCCAACCUGUUUUCUUGUAUUUAAGGCAAGUAUUGCACAUGAUUUAGCGAAGCAAAUUAGACUAGCAGCAAAAAAGGAAGAGCGAGAGCUUACUGUCAUUCGCAUGGCGACCUCGAUCAUGGCUUCUAUGGCUCUGAAAUCAUCUCCAUCGCCAUUUUCUGGGCAGUCGCAGCUCCAGCGCAUCCAGCCUUCAGCACGAUCAUCAUCUUUCAGAGUAAUGUCCAAAAAGGCAAAGAAAGUUCAGACUUCUCAGCCUUUCGGGCCCGGGGGAGGAUUGGAACUGAAAGAUGGUGUUGAUGCAUCUGGAAGGCUAGCCAAGGGGAAGGGCGUCUACCAGUUUGCCAGCAAGUAUGGAGCAAAUGUUGAUGGGGCAGCCCAAUAUAUAACCCAGAAGAAUGGUCUCCAAGUGGUGACUACUAUGCGGGAGGAAAGACAUGGUUGUUGCUCUGGGUGGCUACUCUUGCUGGAAUUCUGCUGGGUGGUGCUCUGCUUGUUUACAAUACUAGUGCUUUGGCUUCUUGAAGCCUGGUAUCGGAAACCAGAUUAUGUACCAUGCAAGGAUUUACAUCAUCUAGGUAUAUUGUAG